AACGAACGCUGGCGGCAUGCCUAACACAUGCAAGUCGAACGAGAUCUUCGGAUCUAGUGGCGCACGGGUGCGUAACGCGUGGGAAUCUGCCCUUGGGUUCGGAAUAACAGUGAGAAAUUACUGCUAAUACCGGAUGAUGUCUUCGGACCAAAGAUUUAUUGCCCAGGGAUGAGCCCGCGUAGGAUUAGCUCGUUGGGGGGGUAAUGGCCUACCAAGGCGACGAUCCUUAGCUGGUCUGAGAGGAGGAUCAGCCACACUGGGACGGGGACACGGCCGAGACUCCUACGGGAGGCAGCAGUCGGGAAUAUUGGACAAUGGGCGAAAGCCUGAUCCAGCAAUGCCGCGUGAGUGGUGAAGGCCUGAGGGUUGUAAAGCUCUUUUACCAGGGAUGAUAAUGACAGUACCUGGAGAAUAAGCUCCGGCUAACUCCGUGCCAGCCGCCGCCGUAA
rnacentral:rRNA from 1 species